rnacentral:rRNA from 1 species
CGUAGGAUCCGAGCGUUGUCCGGAUUUACUGGGUGUAAAGGGUGCGCAGGUGGACUGGUAAGUCAGAGGUGAAAUCUCGUCGCACAACGACGAAACUGCCUUUGAUACUAUCAGUCUUGAAUCCGGUAGAGAUCUGUGGAAUUCCGAGUGUAGCAGUGAAAUGUGUAGAUAUUCGGAAGAACACCAGUGGCGAAGGCAGCAGAUUGGGCCGGUAUUGACGCUCAGGCGCGAAAGCAUGGGGAUCAAACAGGAUUAGAGACCCUGGUAGUCCAUGCCCUAAACGAUGUUCACUUGAUGUCUGCCCUCAGGGUAGGUGUCGAAGCUAACGCGAUAAGUGAACCACCUGGGGAGUACGCUCGCAAGGGUG